ACUUUUAAAGGAAACUAGCAAUCCACUGGUUUUAGGCACCAGACCACUUGGUGCAACUCCAAGUAAAAGUA
rnacentral:tRNA from 1 species